rnacentral:lncRNA from 1 species
UCUUUUCCUGCUACAAAGCUGCUGUCACAGACAUUUUCAGAACCAGAGUUUCUUUGCAAUUUAUUUUCAUUUAUCAUGGGAAGCAUCGCCAGAGCGCAAGCUACACUCUACCGUUGCAGCUACUGCAAUGGCGAGACCAAAAAUGUAACAUUCAUCAAUAGUACGCAGGGACGUAACCAGCGCCUACAGGAAAAAAUAGAUGCGAUCAAUUUUUGGGGUGCCAAAACCCAACUGCCCUUAGCUAUUUGCCCUGAGUGCAAGACCGAGGUUGAGAAGUUGUAUGAAAGAGCUUGCAAGGUUGUUUCAGAAAAUAACAAAAACAAUUCAAAUUGAAACGCCAUCGUGAAAAUAAGCUAACAAACAGAAGACGACACGCAUACACAAGAAUAACAACAAGCAACAUAAAGAAGAGGGAGAUGGAGCAUAUAGUCAUACACAUACACAACCUGAACACCGAUAAAAAAGCAAAAUUUAAAUCACACAUGGAAAAAAAGGAGACGAAAAAGCACAAAGAAGAAAAGCAAACAGAAAGAAGAAGAAACAAAGGAGCGGCACCGUAAACGGAUCACACACUGCAGACAAUGCAACACACACAGCAAAAUCAUAGAGAUAAAGCAAAGAUGAACAAGAACGUAGAAGAAAAUAAAUAAAAAACAUAAUUUAAC